CAUGUCCGUCGGGCAGUCGCCUCUGCUUCGGCAGGGGAGGAAAGUCCGAACUCCGCAGGGCAGGGUGCCGGAUAACGUCCGGGCGUCGAAAGGCGACGGAAAGUGCAACAGAAAACAUUCCGCCCCGAUCCGUCGGGGUAAGGUUGAAAUGGUGCGGUAAGAGCGCACCGGCAGUCUGGUAACAGGCUGGCCUGGCAAACCCCACCCGGAGCAAGACCAUGUAGGAGUAUCGUCUCAGGAGCUGCGUUGCCCGCGCAGUGUCCGCUUCGGCGAACCGGUACUCGGGUAGGUCGCACGAAUCCCGCGGUAACGCUGGAUCCAGAUAGAUGGCUGCCUCGUCCCGCCUGGCGGGAUAGACAGAAUUCGGCUUACAGACGGGCGUGAGAC
rnacentral:RNase_P_RNA from 1 species